rnacentral:tRNA from 1 species
GGAGAGUUGGCCGAGCGGUUUAAGGCGGUAGUCUUGAAAACUAUUGUACUUCACGGUACCGGGGGUUCGAAUCCCUCACUCUCCG